rnacentral:misc_RNA from 1 species
UCCGGUUUGUCACCGGCAGUCUCCUUAGAGUUCCCGCCUUUACGCGCUGGCAACUAAGGACAAGGGUUGCGCUCGUUACGGGACUUAACCCAACAUUUCACAACACGAGCUGACGACAGCCAUGCAGCACCUGUCACUGCGCUCCCGAAGGCACCCCUCCGUCUCUGGAGGGUUCGCAGGAUGUCAAGACCUGGUAAGGUUCUUCGCGUUGCAUCGAAUUAAACCACAUGCUCCACCGCUUGUGCGGGCCCCCGUCAAUUCAUUUGAGUUUUAACCUUGCGGCCGUACUCCCCAGGCGGUCAACUUAGUGCGUUAGCUGCGCCACUAAAGACUCUAAGGUCCCCAACGGCUAGUUGACAUCGUUUACGGCGUGGACUAC